GUGCUCGCUUCGGCAGCACAUAUAAUAAAAUUCGAAUGAUACAGAGAAGAUUAGCAUAGCCCCUGCGCAAAGAUGACAAAAAAACAGAGCAGGAUAAAUAAUUUUUU